rnacentral:rRNA from 1 species
GAUGAACGCUGGCGGCGUGCCUAAUACAUGCCAGUCGAGCGAACGGACGAGAAGCUUGCUUCUCUGAUGUUAGCGGCGGACGGGUGAGUAACACGUGGAUAACCUACCUAUAAGACUGGGAUAACUUCGGGAAACCGGAGCUAAUACCGGAUAAUAUUUUGAACCGCAUGGUUCAAAAGUGAAAGACGGUCUUGCUGUCACUUAUAGAUGGAUCCGCGCUGCAUUAGCUAGUUGGUAAGGUAACGGCUUACCAAGGCAACGAUGCAUAGCCGACCUGAGAGGGUGAUCGGCCACACUGGAACUGAGACACGGUCCAGACUCCUACGGGAGGCAGCGGUAGGGAAUCUUCCGCAAUGGGCGAAAGCCUGACGGAGCAACGCCGCGUGAGUGAUGAAGGUCUUCGGAUCGUAAAACUCUGUUAUUAGGGAAGAACAUAUGUGUAAGUAACUGUGCACAUCUUGACGGUACCUAAUCAGAAAGCCACGGCUAACUACGUG